AGAGCGAACGCUGGCGGCAGGCCUAACACAUGCAAGUCGAACGGACCCUUCGGGGUUAGUGGCGGACGGGUGAGUAACACGUGGGAACGUGCCUUUUGGUUCGGAAUAGCUCCUGGAAACGGGUGGUAAUGCCGAAUGUGCCCUUCGGGGGAAAGAUUUAUCGCCAUUAGAGCGGCCCGCGUCUGAUUAGCUAGUUGGUGAGGUAAAGCUCACCAAGGCUACGAUCAGUAGCUGGUCUGAGAGGAUGACCAGCCACAUUGGGACUGAGACGACGGCCCAAAACUCCGUAACGGGAGGCAGCGAGGUGGGGAAUCGUUGCGACAAGUAGGGACGAAAGCCUGACGCAGCAUGCGCGUAGAAUGAUGGAAGUC
rnacentral:rRNA from 1 species